AGCAUGUACUGAGCUCUGCUCCCAGGCAUACGCCAGAGGAAUAGCAGAGCCGGGCGGAAACCCUGGGUCUCCAGCCACACGCGCAUGUCCAAAGUCAACAUCAUGAAGUGGUUUAUUCUCCAGUUGCUCAUAUUUCCCUGCCUGGUGGUGUUGCCAGUGACCGGAAAAUGGAGAGAAAAAGUUGUUUCUGCAAUUGAAAUUACAGGUUACAUUUUACCAAAGCCGAAACCGAGGAUCUGUGCGAGGAUUCCCGAGGAGUGGCAGUGCAGAGCCCGGUGCACGUUACACAGGGACUGUCUCACUGGUCUGCGCUGCUGCCAAGCCUCAUGUGGAAACGUCUGCAUGUCUCCUGAAGAUAUUGAGGACAACAAAUUGAAACAUAAAGCCAGAACAUAAUUUCCAGCACUGAUGCCUUAAACCGCCAGUGAGAGUUGGAGGAUACCUGGAGGUCUUAGAAGAGCACUAUGAGACCUUCUUUUCGCUCCACUUGGGGGUUGGGGAAUGUGGCCAGGGCAAUGUCAACCUGCUUCCCUGAGCUCUUAUUACAUUAGCAGCAGGACUUGAGGCUUCAAGUCCUUGCCUUAUAAGCAGCGCCAAUAACCCAGGGUCUUUGUUUCUUUUUCUGUAGUCCAACAAUUGUUUGCUGCCCUCACUGUUUGCUCUCACCCCAUCUUUUGCAUAAGCCCCCAGCCCUUGCCUCCUGGUUUGGCUCUCCCUGCCUUCUCACCAUUUGGAGGCUCGGCCAGGACUCCUGUGCUCUCCUUUUCUUUAUUCAUUGACUGACAUUGCUGGGGGAAAACUGCUUGUAUGGGGGCUGUUCUCAGGGCUGCAGCAGACACUGUCCUGCUGGCUGUAACAUUUCUCCCAUUAUCUUAGGUCUGUGAUUCUUUUAUGUACCUCCCUUUUUAACUAAUCCACGCAAAUACAAUCUUACUUGUACAUGAAAACAACACCUCUAGAAUUGGAGGGCGAUGCCAUUGGCCACUCUACUCAAGUUUUUUUCCCAGGCAAUGCCUAACUUGUAACUAUUAUUAUUCAGUAAUUUGGAAUCUGCAAGGAUCUUUUCAAAUGUAAAUAGUGCUAGAAAGAAUAAGAAACUUUCAGAGGGGUAUAGAGAACCUACCAUGUGCCCAGAUUGUGGCAAGGGCCAUUUCGCAUGAAUGGAGAUGUCACUUACUAUAUCUGCUGGCAAAUAGCCCAAGGAAAGGUUAAGCUGUACAAUCCAACCCAGUAGAAACCAGGAAGGGGCAUGACAGAAAAGACCAAAGGGACCUGUAAUUGGUGCCAUAAAGUAUGGACAGAGGGGUUGUUGUGGGUUGUGGUAUCAGGGCAGGCUUCCUAGAAGAAGGAAUGCCUGGUUUUACCAUGAGGAAUAGGGAGGAAUUGCUAUAUCUCUGAGUGAAAUUUAUUUUUCCCUCCCUGUCAAGAUUUAAAUACAGAAUGCAGUGAGGAUGGAAGCAAGGGAAAUUGAAUGAAAUGAAAGGCUAAACCCUUUCUGUCUCCCCAGCAAUAACAGGUGAAGCCCAGAAAGGUUGGAUCAUGAACUUGGUAGCAAGCUCCACGAUCCUAGCACAUUCUGUUUGCCAACUUUUCCAUUUGGGCUUCUGUUGUUACUUUGAUAAAACCCUCAGAGCCCAAGUAUUGUGCUUUAAUUAGCAAAGAGGAACAAAUAGGCACAGUCUGGUAGCUGGACCUUCCCCAAUUCACUCAGCAAGCUGGUGAUGAAUGGGUAUAUAGAUCUCCUUGUCUAAACUCCUCCGUACUUGAGUUUUUUGAAAUAUGUCUACUUUAGGGACUAGAGUUGUGCUGAAGGCAGAGAGUCCUGUGGGGAGUA